GGACGUGUAUUCUCGAACAGUGGCGGUAAUUCCGAACAACAGAGUCCCAACUUUUUAAUAAUAGAUCGUUUGUUUGUUUACAAUGAUAAACAUAGACAUUCUUUACGGUAUUACUUGCAUUUUUAACUAAGGAAUUUCAUAAAACAAAAUAUAUAACUCGUAUUUCAGAGUAUCUCUAUCUAACCCUAAUUUGCAGAAGCACAACACAACAUCUUGACAACUUCUACAUGUUUAAAUGUCUGAAAAGUUGAUUCGGUAAACAUUCUUAUACAAAAUGCAGUGUGCAGUGUUAUAAGUAAUAUAACUGUUUAAAAUGUCGCAUUCAAACGGAAGUUCGUCUGUAUUAUCCAAUAACUCAUCUGCCACACAUUUAGGGUGAAAUCUGCUCCCACAAUUGCAACAUAUACAGUUUUUCACAUGCAUAGCAGUUAUGUGGAACGUAUCAUGCAGGGUACCAAAAUUCUCUUGUAGCUCUUGAUAAGCUCUUACUAUUGCUUCUCACAUGAGUCGCCGCCUCCUCUAACAGAGUCAGAUCAUAUUCCAGAUGUUCAAAACAAGCAUUUAGCAUGCCAAAUGUAGGCAUUACCUAGAGCAUUUUAUUUUCAAGGGAAAUAAUUGUGGUCUGACAGUAUUAUUUUGAAAAUCACAGUUGAGAUUUUUUUAUGUGUGCACCAGUACAGUUUUGCGGGGAAGUGAAAGCUGCCAUGGAAUUUUGUCUUCUUCUAAAAACAAGUGUCUGAUACAUGUAGUUGCAGUCUGUCUUUGGAAGCUGUAGAAAUAACAAGAAAGAGGCUGACAUAGUGUUUUGGUAGGGAAAAGUUUGAGUAUGUACAUGUACAGUUGUUUGACCUGUCUUACCCUGUGGUAGUCCAAGAAGAUGUUAAUUACCAUUAUGAAAAAUGCAGGAGAACUUGAAGACAAUGGUUAGUGCAGAAGGGACAUAAAAGUUAUGACAAAAGUAACACAUAUAAAUAAGGUAAACUACUGUGAUAAAAAGACAUGGCCAGUGCUGCACAUCACAAAGGCAAUAUUUGAAUUUAAUUUUUUGUCAUGAGUUCUGUAAAGCUGAUUUUGCAAUAUAUAUAAAAUGAUUAGGAUUAAUGUUUUUUACUGUGAUCUUUUUUUCACAUGAUUUUGUCAAGACUGACAAUUUGUUCAUUGGAAUAAGAUAGUUAAAGGCGGCAUUGUGUCACAUAAAAAUAUGUCUGCAUAGUUGCCUAACAUUAAAUGUCAAAUUGUAAACAAGGAAAUCUAAAUUUGGAAAACCCUUUAUUGUUUUUCUUCAUUUAGCUCAGUUGAAGGAGAUGAAGUUUGAAGCAAUUUUCACAGUACAACCUCUCCAGAGUAGCUCACUCUGAAGCAAACACCUCUCUAUAACAACAUCAUGAGAAUUUCCCUAAGCUGAAAUAUAACUAGAAAAUGCUUUUGUAAAAAAGCAAAUGUCUCCCCCAAUGCGAAGUCCUAUAGGCAAGAAGUCAUAAGGGGUCAGGAGCGAAAGUCAAAGAGACACUGAUGGUUGGCUGCAAUAGGGAUCAUCUAC